rnacentral:lncRNA from 1 species
CUAAUUGAACUAACACUUAAUACUUACCCAUAUGUUUGGGCUCAAGAAAUGGGCUUGAGUUUUGGUGCUCCCAAGCAACCCAAAACUUCAAUUUCUUAGAUCAUCAAUGAGCCUCGUGAAUACUCAUAAUCAUCCAUACCAUAACCCGCUCAGCAAGCCCUAGGCAUUUGUGUGGCUUGGGCCUACUUAAGCUUGUAGCGUGGCUUGGUGCCAAGAUAAAGGUUUUCAGCUUAGCGUUGCGUGUUAUUUGGCUUGCUUGUGCUCGAGCUUUGCUGUAUUGUAAGCCAAAUGACACUCGACGGGAUAAUAAGCACGGGGUCAUAGAGCCAGUACAUUUUACAGGCUUGUUACGACCUUUCUGCGUGGCGGGUUGCGUAUUUGCUUGGCGUGGCACGUGGAUCAUAACUUGUGCAAGUGUACACGACAAACUCUUGCGUACCCCAGUUGGGCUUAUUCUCUAGUUAAAUGUUGUACUGG